rnacentral:rRNA from 1 species
UGGGGAAUCUUGGGCAAUGGGCGAAAGCCUGACCCAGCGACGCCGCGUGGAGGACGAAGGCCCUCGGGUCGUAAACUCCUGUUCUUGGGGAAGAGAAUGACGGUACCCAAGGAGCAAGCCCCGGCUAACUCCGUGCCAGCAGCCGCGGUAAUACGUAGGGUGCGAGCGUUAAUCGGAAUUACUGGGCGUAAAGCGUGCGUAGGCGGUUCUGAAAGUCAGCUGUGAAAGCCCCGGGCUUAACCUGGGAAUGGCGGUUGAAACUGUAGGACUAGAAUCUGGCAGAGGGGGGUGGAAUUCCACGUGUAGCAGUGAAAUGCGUAGAGAUGUGGAGGAACACCGAUGGCGAAGGCAGCCCCCUGGGCUGAGAUUGGCGCUCAGGCACGAAAGCGUGGGGAGCAAACAGGAUUAGAUACCCUGGUAGUCCACGCCCUAAACGAUGUCAACUAGGUGUCGGGAGCGCAAGUUCUUGGUACCGCAGCUAACGCGUGAAGUUGACCGCCUGGGAAGUACGGUCGCAAGAUUA